AAACUCCUCAUUUCUGCUAUCUCCUUUCCACCUCUGGAAGGGAAACAACCAUAUGUCGUUAACCAUCCAGCUGGAGUGGUCCAUGGCCAGCAAUAUCCGUGAUCCAGCUGGAGUGGUCCAUGGCCAGCAAUAUCCGUGUUCAUCCCGAAGAAUUGGGAGAUAGAUAUACGGAGGAAUCAAUAGCAGCAACUAUACCAUAUAAGAUGCAUUAGUUGGCUGUGACAUGCGCCUGAUGGAUUGUGGCCCCUGCAAGCCUUGACGCAGCAUAACCAUUAACAGUAACAAUAGCAAGAAUAGCCCAGAUAAGCCCAACGCAGAGGAGCAAAGCAAGCCUUUCAAGUAAUGAUUGGGCUUCUGGAUGAAAACGUUGCAUAUACUGCAGAUGACUUGACCAUCAUUACAAUCUGAGGAAAUCCUCUACCGAACAAACCAAGACCCGAGAAUUUCUGAGAAAACUCCAUUGACAAGAAGUCAUGCUAGUCAGAGUACCAAGCUGAAAUCUUAAAUUGGAAAGUAGAGGUACGACUAACACUCCACAAAUCUGUACUAACACUCUAGUCUUUACCCUCUUUUCUUUAAUGGAAUGAACCCACAUAGGUUAAUACCACCAUUUUAAUUGAAGAGCGUCAAGACUUGAGAGAAUUAGUAAUAUAUGUGACAAGUGUAUAAAAACUAACUGGAAUAUUAAAGAAUCUCCUACUAUUGACUUGAGUCUUGGUUUCAUACCAUAUGUAACACCUCAAAGCUCUCACCAGGUGCAUGGUAUAGUAACCAACCAAAAUUACUUCAGACUUCACAAAGUACAUUAAUAGGUUCAAUCUUUUAAACUUCGCAUUAGUAUUCAUAUCGUAAGAGUGUACCAGAAAGUAUGACUGCUUAAGAUGUGAAAUUUGUAACAGAGUUUUUGAUUCUCAUGUUUGGUAAACUUAGCUUAUCAAGAUUGAUAAUCCUUUUGCCUUUAAUUGGAACUUCCUCGGAAUUUCUGAAUUCAAUUGUACCUACAAAAUCAAAAGCCAAGUUAGCAAAAUAGUCAGCAAGAGUAUUUCCCUCCCUCAAGGAGUGUUGUACUCUUACUGACAUAUCCUCAAUAAUCCUUUUAAUGGACUUGACCACCAUUGUCACACUCCAAAGGACUUCCCAAACUCCAUUAAUAAUGUGCACCAGAGCUAAAGAAUCAGAUUCAAUGAUGAUAUUAAGGAAAUUAUUUUCCAAACAAUACUAUAAACCUUCUCUAACAGCCACAGCCUCAGCCACCAGAUUAGUUGAAUCAACAAUCUUCCAACCCUUUGCACCCACUAGAUCACCAUCACUAUUUCUUACACAAAAAGCUGCAGAGCUAGCACCUGGAUUACCUCUUGAGGCCCCAUCUGUGUUACAUUUCCACCAACCAACUGGUGGUGGUAACCAUUUAACAAAUUUGCACUGAAAACUUGGCCUAUAACCAUCAAGCAUAGCUACCAUGUAAGGCCAGGUUCUCGGAAUCUCAGUAUAUUGAAACUUCAGUUUGAUAAACUUCUGAAGAGUAGUGUUAAUAUCAUGCAACAUACUACUUAUAGAAUACACUCCUCCAUGUAAUACUGUGUUUCUCCUCUUCCAUAUAAACCAUAAAACAAUAUUAGGAAUAGCUUUAAAGAUCACCUUUUGUCUAGCAUUUCCAUAUGCAUCCCACCAUUUUUUCAUGGUCUGUUUUACUUGAAUCUGAGGUCCAGUGAUGCCAGCUGCAUUUGACACAUAAUUCCAAACAUUAGUAGCUAUUUCACCAUUUAGAAAAAGAUGUUCCAUGGUAUCUCUAGCUGGUACUGAACAACAAGAACAAAAUUGAGAUAUUCUAGGGUUCCAGUUAGCCAACAUAGCUGCAACAGGGACCUGUUAGUCCAUACUCUCCACCCAAAGAAUGAAAUUUUAAAAGGGAGUCCUUUCACCCAGAUUUUCUUAAAAAAAUCUGAAACUUCAUCCUUUUUUCUCAAGAUUUCCCAUGCACUCUUUACUGAAAAAAUUCCAGAACUUGUCUAAGUCCACCAAGGUUUAUCCUCCAUCUCAGAUUUCUUGACAUGAUCCAUAUGAUUUCUAACAUGAUCUACAAUGUGGGCAGGUAUGUGAUUUUGCAUUUCCUCAUAGUUCCAGCCUGCUUCAGUCAUAAACACUCCAAUUUCUGUCAAAGGAUAACAAGAAACCACCUCCGAUUGAUGAUUAAAAAGUGGACCAUGCAUUGUCCAAUUAUCAUACCAAAUAGUUACUGAACCUCCCCUAGGUUCCCACCAUAGGUGUUGUUCAAUGCAAUUUCUAUUGUGUAGCAUAUGUUUCCACUGUUGAGAACCUUCCCUCCACUAAACCAAUGAAGGUAAUUGUUUCUUACAAUACUUGUUCCACAAAAGUUUAGCCCAUAAAUUAUUCUCUGCUCUAAAUUUCCACCAUAGCUUAGCAUACAUGGCUUGUGAGACAUCAAACAAAGAUUUAAAACCCAGUCCUCCUUCCUGUUUUGGCAAGCAAACUUUAUCCCAAGCAGCCCAAUGUUUUCUCCUGUCAGUGACCUUGUUACUCCAAAAGAAUUUAGCAAAGAUUUUGUGCAAUUCCUUGACAACACACUUAGGAGGAACAAUAGCCGAAAGUACAUGUGUAGGAACACUUUGUAAAACACUUGAUCAACACCUCUUUGCCACCAUAUGAUAACAGAUUUCCUUUCCAGGCUUGUAACUUUAUCUUAACCCUUUUGAUAAGAUCAGCAUAAUGUUCUUUUCUUUUUUCUAGCAUGGGUUAUGAGACACCCUAAGUAUAUCAAAGGAAAGUGACCUCUUGUAAAACCUAUGCACUUUUCCACCAUUGUCUCAUAUUAGAGGCUACAUUUUGAGGCAGGUAAUAAGAACUCUUAUCCUUGUUAACCUUUUGCCUGAUUGAACCUCAUACUCCUGCAAAAUUGACACAAUUUUCUCUAAAGAAUACUUAUUAGUUGAAGCAAAUAUAAUAGUGUCAUCUGCAUAAGCAAGAUGAUUCAAAUUAGCACUCCAUUUGGGUAAACCAUACCCUACAAAUUGAGUAUCUUCAAAUAAGGAAUUUAAGGCCUUGCUUAGAACCUCUACUGAUAGAACGAAUAAAGCAGGGGACAAAGGAUCCCCUUGCUUCACUCCCCUGGUAGAAUGAAAGAAACCAUGAGAUUGACCAUUAACCAAGAUAGAAUACCAGUUAUUUGAAAUUAUCCUCCAAAUAAUAUCAACAAAUACUUCUGAAAAACCCAUUUUCCUUAGAACUUUCAUAAAAAAAAACCAAGAUACUCUGUCAUAAGCUUUAGCCAUAUCUAGCUUUAUGGCAACAUUGGAAGGUUUACCCCUCUUCCUAAUAUCAGUGACAAUCUCUUGAGCCAAUAGAACAUUCUCAAUGAUGCUUCUACCCUUCACAAAGCCUGAUUGAUUGCAAGAGAUCAAUCUGGGAAGAAGGAUUUCUAUUCUGUUAUGAACAAUCAUGGAGAUUAUCUUGUUAAUAAAGUUGCUCAAACUAAUAGGUCUCAAAUCUGUAAAAGCUUGUACCCGGUCUUUCUUAGACAGUAGAACCAAAUUAGUAUGAGUAAUGGAUUUAGGAAGUGUAUUACCCCUACAAAAAAUCACCUACCAGCCUGAGAAUAUUAUUCCUUACAAUCUCCCAGUAACUUUGAUAGAAUCUUCCUGUUAGUCCAUCAGGGCCACUAGCACUGUCCUCGUUUAAUUCAAAAACAGCCCUUUUAACUUCAUUUAAAUCAGGUUGUCUACAAAGUUUUACAUUAUAUUCAUCUCGGAUGGAUUUCUGAAUAUGUCUGAGAAGUGAGAAAGAUGUGGCAUCUCUUUCUUGGCAGAACUGAUUUUGAUAAACAUUAACUGCUUCCGCUGCUAUGUCUUGUUCAUCCUCUAACCAAUUUCCCUCAUUGUUCUGGAUCCUUUGCAAGUGCAGUCUUUUUAUUCUCCCUUUGGAAGAACUUAGUAUUUCUGUCACCAUUCUCAAACCAAUCAUAUCCUGACUUUUGUUGCCAGAAUAUCUCUUCAAAGUGUAGAUAUCUUCUAUAUUCAGCUUGAGCUCUUUGCAGUACUUCUCUAUUUUCUGCUGUGGGAACCUUAUCAAACAACUUUUCUUUAAUCUUCACAAUGUCCUCUCUAAUGAUAAGUUGCUUGACAAUGUCACCAUAAGUAUCUCUACUCCAUUUUGUCAGUGCUGCUUUAACUUUCUUGAUAUUCUCCUUGAAAUCUAGAAAAGGAUUCUGAGAGGCACUUGGAUUCCAAUUCUGUCUAACGAUCUCCUUAAAAUAAUCGUUCUCCGUCCAGAAUUUGAGAAACCUAAAAGGUUUCCUAUAAAUGGUCAACCUAGCUUCACACUUCAGCAACAUAGGGGCAUGAUCAGAUCCAGUUCUGGGUAGAUGUUCAACCUCAGUAUAAUUAAACCAAUCUUGCAUUUGUUGAUUGAUUAGAAUUCUAUCUAAUCUUUCAAAAAUGCAAUCAUUACCAGCUCUACCAUUCCACCAGGUGAAUGGACUUCCCUUAAAUUGUACUUCUGUUAAGUCACAAGAUGAUAUGCAACUCCCAAAAUCUUCACAAUCAGCUUCAUUAACUGGUAAACCACCAAUCUUUUCUUCUGAAUUAAGCACCACAUUAAAAUCACCCUCGAUCAACCCUGGAUUAUCCAUUUCUGCUUCCAAUUGAUAUAAAUCCUCCCAAAGGAUCAAUCUUUGAUCAGAAGUACAUUUAGCAUACACCAAGGUAACAUAAAAGCUAUUUGCAUGGCUGUGAUGCUUUAACUGCAUAGUUAGUUGUUGUUCUGUGUCUUUAAUGACUGUUGUAUCUACAUCAUUGUUUGUAAAACACCAAAUCUUGCCGUUACAAUUAGUUAUAGCACUUGGCAUCUUCAAUCUCCUCCUAUAUUUAUUGAUGUAUCUGGAAUUCUGAAAUGGUUCCAUUAAUCCAAUGAAUGAAAAAUUAUGGAACUUGUGAAGCAUUUGCACCCUUUGAAAAGCUUGUUGAGAUUUCACUGAUCUUAUAUUCCAUAUAAAAGCCUUCAUUGGUAUCUUUUAGGGGUUGAUUUAAUUCUCUUUGGCUGAACUCUGAUUGGCUGAGUGUUCUCUCCAUUACCUUGUUUCUUUCCCUUUCUUGCAUAUUUCAUUACCCUUGGUGAUAGAUCUGCUUCAAUCAAGAUAUUCUCUAGUAAGUCAUCUGACAGCUCUGAUUCUGUGAUACCUUUAGCAAUCUGUUCUUGAUAUGCAAUUUCUCCACCAGUGUUUUCUCCAAAGUUAUGAGAUACAAUCUCAUGUAAGAUUCUGUUAGGAGAUUCCAUCCUAAUCAAUUGUGAUUCAUCUAUCUGCAUAGCAAUAGGUAUCUCCAUCAAUGCUAAACUAUCAUCUUGAGAUUUUACAUGAGGAUCCACCUGAAGACUUCCUCCAUCAAUUGUGCAAUCAUGAACAGUGCUAGUAUCUUCAUCCCGAUGGUUUGAAUUUCCUUUACCUGCUUGAUUGUUGCAAGUACCAUCAUGUAUUCCUUGUAGAGCAACACUUAAAAACUCCUCGGUAGCACCUUUUACUCCUCCAUUUGCAUUCUGCAGCUUCUCUCCUUCCUCUCUGGAACCUAUGUUGACAUUUGUUUCACAUUUGGACUGCUCUAAAUUGCCGUUUUGUUGCAAAUUAGGUGCAUCACUCAUUGCUGCAACUUUAUUUCUUUCAAAAAUCUGCUUCACUGGUGAUGAAAUUUCCUUCUGCAAUCUGGAAACAAAAGCCUUGGAGACCCAAUCUUUUGUUGAUUCUUUUCCACUUUUGUCGUUAUCUUCCUGGUUAGUAUGUUUUUGACUAGUCAUUCUAGCUGCGGUGUUGCCUUGAUUGCUACACUCUGUUUGCAUAUUAUCUUCUCUAUUCAUUAUAGCAUCGUUGUGGCCUUUAGUGCUGCAUUCUGCUUGCAUUAUGUCUUCACUGACUAAAGCUUGGAAUUGAUUAGUAAUUGGAAGAGACUGAUUGUCACUCUUUGCAAUUCUUCUCCUGUCCCUAACCACAUUCCAGUUUCCUGGAUCCCCUACUACUCUCCCACUUGAGAGAACUUUGGCCCUUCUAGUUUGUAGUCUUGGGAUCUGUUUUGCUUGAGAAUUCUGUAUGAUGUGGUUGUUUUGACUAUUGUUGUUAAAAUGAUAAGAAUUUUUCUCUUCCUUACUCCUUAGAAAUCUGCAAGUAUCCUUAUCAUGUCCUUGCAUUUUGCAUUCAUUCACAACAAUACUUAGGGACAUAAUUGUAACACCCCGUAAAAGUCGUGCAUGGAUUAGCCUUUAAUAUAGUGCUCUUAGACUUAAAAACUUGAAAAUUUUUCUAAGUGUAAUGAGGACUUAGAGUCAUUUUAGCUGGCAAUCUUCGGGAUACAACUUUUCAACCUUUCUUACCUCCGUUUUUAGAUUUUCAAGUUGCGUUAUGACCGGACAAGCUCAUAGUACAUCUCGGAUAAGUUUCAGAAUUUUUGGAAUGCAUAAGGCUGCGUUUGGAUUUCAAAACAGUAGCAAAACGCAUAGCCUGUUGCCCAGUUUUCAGCAUUUCAGGGUUAACUUCAAAUGAUCAUAACUCUCUGAAUAUAAUGAACUGGGAGAGCUGCUACCUAUCAAAUGAAAUAUCUUUGAGUUUUAUUUCCAAUGCAACUAGUUUCAUCCAAAUCCAACAUCUGAGUAAGGAGUAAUACCCAUUUUACUUCAGCCUAUCAGUUUGUCAACUGAGGGACAGUUUCAACUUUGUUUGUUUUCUCAGGGGCAUUUUAGUCAUUUCACCUCACCCAAAUUUCGUCUAUGACACCAGAUUUAGCCCCCAAUUCAUCAAAAUAUAAUCCUUUUCUCAAAUUUUCUCUCAAGAACAUCCCUUAGGGUUUCAAACAAAAAUCCCAAAUAACUCAAGAUUCAACCGUGGGUUUUGGAAGAUAAUUAGAGAUUUGGAAUCCCCACAUCGUAGGCUUCAAGGAUCAUCCCUUAAUUUCUUAAAUAGAGGGACGCGGGGUUUUUCUAAAUUCCCAUGGGCAUAAAAAUCAUGUUUUAAGAAAGAGGUUUUUGAAUUCAUGUACAUAUUCAUGUUUUAAAAGCUUUAAAUGAUAUUGUUUUAGGCUUUUGGCUUCCCCCCAAAGUGACUUGAAAAUUAUAUAUAUAUGUAUAUAUGUGGUUUGCCUUGAAAUAUGAAUUGAGAGCUCGAUUUACAUGAAAUCCCUCUCUUGAUGUAAUUUUCCCAUGUUUCACAUGAUAUAGAUUCUUUUGAAAUACGUCUUGAAAAAUCAUGAUAUGAAAUGCUUUGACUUUGCUAUGUUUGGAAUACGAUUUUGAACACGAAAGAGAGGGUUGUAAAUAUUGAAUAUACAUAUAAUGAAAGAGUGCAUAAUUUUGCCAAAAGCACAUGACCACCAUAUGUUUGCUGAAAGUUUUUGCAUGGUUUUGACUUGAGUUUCGGAACAUGAAAUCUUUUAUGUAAAUUACAUGUUUGGCUGGUCCGUUCAGAAAUCAGAUUUUAUCAGACUUUCAUGAUUAAGAAAUUUUAGAAUGAUACAUGUUCAGAAAAGGUUAAAAAUUAGGCAUAAAGAGAUGUUAGGUGGUCCCUGAAGAAGGCGUGAACACUCUAACCCUUGCGGCACACUUGGGUUGGGGGCUUCUCCACCGAGUCAAUGGUGGAUUUCAUAUAGCUCGUGGAAUAUCAGACUUGUAGGGGAGUGCCACCUAACUCAGAAGUAAUACAAAGAUCAGAAAUUAUUUUGACAAGAAUGUCUUAUGAUUUUUGAAUGAUGCCCAUGUGUUUUCAUAAGCUAUUUUAUACGUGAUGUGUUGAUGAAAAUUGCUCUCAUCUAUUAUAUAUAUGUUCAAAUACUUUAUUUUGGAUUGCUUCGCGUGCCAAUACAUUUGUGCUGACCCCCCCUCCUUCCAGGUUUUGAGACACAGUCUAGGGGUCCAGAUAAACAGUAGAUAUUUUAGAUCGCAGAGAAGAUUGUACAGGGGUGAACCUUCUAUAUUCCAGAAGGCCUGUUUACUUUCAGAUAUUUAUCUUUAGUUAUGUUUUGGUCUACUGGGGGCCUUGUCCCAGUUUUCAGACUGUUUUGUUUAGUUCAUAGUAGAGAUUUCGCAGACUGAGUCAGACAUUAUUAUUGUCCAGAUAUAUUUUGGGUUUCAAUUUUUCAGUAUUAUGAUCACAUUCAGAUUGACCAUGUUUCCAGAUUAGAUUUCUAUUUUCGCAUUAUCUUUUAUUAUAUGAAUGUUGUGCAUGAUUACCAGAUAGACAGAG
rnacentral:lncRNA from 1 species